GCGGCAGCAGCGAGCCGGGGACCCCGGCGCCGCCCGCGUGCGGCCCCGUCUGAGGUCUGGCAGUCAGAGACAGCCGGGCGCCCACGGCCCGAGCGCCCACGGCAGCACCAUGCCCGCACUCCUGGAGCGCCCCAAGCUUUCCAACGCCAUGGCCAGGGCGCUGCACCGGCACAUUAUGAUGGAGCGGGAGCGCAAGCGGCAGGAGGAAGAAGAGGUGGAUAAGAUGAUGGAACAGAAGAUGAAGGAAGAACAGGAGAGAAGAAAGAAAAAGGAGAUGGAAGAGAGAAUGUCACUAGAGGAGACCAAGGAACAAAUUCUGAAGUUGGAGGAGAAGCUUUUGGCCCUACAGGAAGAGAAGCACCAGCUUUUCCUGCAGCUCAAGAAAGUUUUACAUGAGGAAGAAAAACGGAGGCGAAAGGAACAGAGUGACCUGACCACCCUGACAUCAGCUGCAUACCAGCAGAGCCUGACUGUUCACACAGGAACUCAUCUCCUCAGCAUGCAGGGGAGCCCUGGAGGACACAAUCGCCCAGGCACCCUCAUGGCAGCUGACAGAGCCAAACAAAUGUUUGGACCCCAAGUGCUUACGGUGAGAGUAGGAUUGGAUGCCUAGCCCCUAGUACUUCCAUCCAUGCAUCCUUGCCACCAGUAUUCAAGUCACAAACAUAUCAAGCACUUAAGUUUAGGGGGAAACGGGGCAUACAGAUACACACAAGUCACUGGGUUUCAGCUUUCAAGGAGUUUGUAGGCGAGUUCUCAUUCUCCUUCCUUAGACCCGGCACUACGUGGGCUCAGCAGCUGCUUUUGCAGGGACACCAGAGCAUGGACA
rnacentral:sRNA from 1 species